rnacentral:rRNA from 1 species
AUUGAACGCUGGCGACAUGCCUUACACAUGCAAGUCGAACGGCAGCACGGGUGCUUGCACCUGGUGGCGAGUGGCGAACGGGUGAGUAAUACAUCGGAACAUGUCCUGUAGUGGGGGAUAGCCCGGCGAAAGCCGGAUUAAUACCGCAUACGAUCUACGGAUGAAAGCGGGGGACCUUCGGUCCUCGCGCUAUAGGGUUGGCCGAUGGCUGAUUAGCUAGUUGGUGGGGUAAAGGCCUACCAAGGCGACGAUCAGUAGCUGGUCUGAGAGGACGACCAGUCACACUGGGACUGAGACACGGCCCAGACUCCUACGGGAGGCAGCAGUGGGGAAUUUUGGACAAUGGGCGAAAGCCUGAUCCAGCAAUGCCGCGUGUGUGAAGAAGGCCUUCGGGUUGUAAAGCACUUUUGUCCGGAAAGAAAUCCUUGGCCCUAAUACGGUCGGGGGAUGACGGUACCGGAAGAAUAAGCACCGGCUAACUACGUG